AUACGAGUGAAGUAGAAAGCGUAAGAGUUUUGUGGGUUAUUUUUGUGAUAGAAUUGGUGAUAAAAUCCUUGAGUGUUACCAUAACAACGUAUUGAACAAGAUUAAGGAAAAAGAUGGUUUGAGUUUUAAUGUUAUCAAGUAGGCCAGGCUGUGUUCAUACUUCAACAUUUAUUAUUAGAGAAAUUUAAGAUUUAGGGCUAGACUGGUCACGAUGUUACUGGUAUCAGCUCAGACCUCCACAGCUGUUGGCUUUGUGGCGCCAUCUCUGUACAUCAUGAACAAGAAGUAACAGAUAGCAAAGACAUUUUUGCCUGUAAAUACUCAUCAUCAGGUGGAUUCUGACAACAGAUGAUUGCAGAGCAUCUCCCUUUAGUUUAGAUGGAGUUUUCAUGGUUCAUCUUUCUAAUUCUUUCUAGGAUAUAUCACAGAGUGGAAUAUCAAGAGAGUUGAUAUCGGUAUCCUAUUUUGGAGUUCCCAACACCAUCGUUACUUUGCUUGGGACCUCUCAUCUACUAGCAUCCUUGCUCCCUCCACACUUGCCAAUUGGAUCCUCCAACUCAUCUGGAUCUUUAACCUUUCCUUGGGUGUGGUUAGUCGUCCACCAUUUUGUGUCUCCUACUACCAGAUUCAUCUUCUGACACAGUCUCUGGCAGCUUCCCAUUGACAGCUUGAGGAGAUUCUCCACACCAGCAUGUGGACUACCCACAAUCAUUUGCCUCACUAUUUACACCAUCUGGUUGUCUCGUCUCCAGUAGCAUACAGUUUUUCCAUCAAUGCCUAUUCUUUAAUUGACACUGUGCCUGUAACAGGUGAGAGUAUUCUUUUAAUUAUUCCUUCCUCACCUUCAUUCUAUUAUCAGAUCCCAUGAGGUUGCUAGUGUUGCAUCCCAGCCCAGGGUAUACUUAUGCAAAAUCUGUAUCGAACCAGGAUAAUAGAAAGUGCUAAUACCAUCCACUUUGACUCAGUCAGUGCCUACUGUGAGAUUGGUUUGUUCCAUAAGACCACUGGAGUAUUACUUGUGAUAAUACUAUAUAACAUUCAAUAGUCUGAUCCAGACUGUACCCAUUUCAUGAACUAUCGUGGAAAAAGCCAGUGCCAGAGCUGUGCAUCUACCCACUUCAUAUGAUUAUGUUCUGAGUGAAACUCAUAAACUGAAAAAUUAUUAUGCUUAUAACGUGAUUGCUGGGGUAAUUUUUAUUAAUCAUGUUGGUUAGAAAUAUUGCUAUUAGUAUUUAGAACUAUAUGAUGGUUUUGAUUGGUGUUACAAAUAAAAUAAAUAAUUGCAAACACUGCAUUCAAAAUGCUGUUCGCUAUCAUUUGGAACAUACUAUUUAUAAGCAACAGUGUCAAUAGCUAGAGGUGGGGAGGUCAAAUAAUCAUCGCAAUAUUCUAAAAAGUAAAAGCUCCACUUCCUAAGAUGUUCACAACUUAACAGCUUAUUACUGUGAGGUAAGCUAAGCUCCUUUUUGUUUUUGCUCUCUUAAGAUUUGAAUAAUUUUGUUUUACAAGUGUCAUUUAGGAUAAGGUAAAUCACUUGAAUUCUUUGUAUAGCAGGAAAAGUCCACAUUUCUAAAGAAAAAGACUCCCACUACAAAAAUAUAUAUACACACACACACAUCAUAGUGCUGGCUACAUCCCUGACCAGUUGCCACAAAAAUACUAUUAUAAGUUCAUGUGUUUCAAUAAGGAUUGAGCAACAGGUAGGUAAGACACUAACAAACCACCUAUAAUUAUGUGGUUGUUAGAAAGAAAUUGUAUUGCUGGCAAACUUGUGGUACUUGUGGCUUCUGUAUUGUUAGAAACUUGGUUAUAAAGUUACAUUUGUGAAUGUUGGAGAAUCAUAUACAUACCAGAAUAUCUGAACACAUCAAAGCUAAUCCCAAUGCUACUUACAAAAGAACAAAACCUAUUUUUUAAACAGUAUGUUAGUAAAAAUACUAAAAACUAAUUUCAUUUUUAGAAAAAGUGAAAUACACUGAAGCAAUAUUACUGUAUUAAAUUCUGAUAUUUGUAAUAAAGAUCAAAUUAGACUGCAUAAUUAUUACAUUUGUUUCACAGUCUUCUUAAGUUUGUCCAUUACGAAUUUAAAAUCAGAGGUACAGAAAAUGACAUUUAAACAUACUUUUUUGUCUUCCACAAAUUUCUGCCAAGGAGGCCUUUAGUCAAUAUCAGACUUAGUCAGUUUAUUAUUUCUAAAUAAUAAUAGUUUUUUAUUAUUUAUAGCUUGUGAAAUAAAAGAGAAACUAGUAAAACUUGAACUUUCAGUGUUAAAUGGUACUGUAUAAGAAGUAACAUUUUACUAAGAUAAUAUGCUAAUAAAAUACAGAAUGUUUCAAAACUUCACUUAUUGUACAAUGCUACUGAUGAAAUAUAUAUGCCUCUUUGCAAAUUCAUCAGGAAGUACUGUCCUACUAUAUUUGAAAUGCUUAACCUGUCCCUAUACUCAUCCCAUAAUGAGUCAACAUCCACUAAGGCCAUGAAAUGUGCUUCUAUCUGUGGAGUUUCUGCAUAUAAAACAGCUCGGAACAGCUAGAUACUGUGUGAAUAAGAUUCAUUAAGUAAUUCAAUGUGUCUGAAAUAUGAGAUACAAAGUCCCAUACAAAAUAAUUACAUGUUUCUAAAUGUGAAAGAUGUUUAUAGAAAAAGAAGUGAAAUGUUCUUAUAAAAAAUCGUCACUAAAUUUAUUUUACUCAGAAUCUGUUAUAAAAUCAUAUAGAAGUAAGGUAAAUCUCAAACUCUGCAGUAGUUUAGGUGCAAUCCCAAACAUUAAUAUGCCUUGAUAUCGGUAUUUCUAAAAACCUCUGUAAUAGUAUGUACAUAUAAUGUAAUGGGCAGAUCAUAGCUAGGGUCAUUGAUUAACAGAGUCUCCGUAUAUAAGAGAUUUUUCAUUCACAAACUGAGGCCUGAAAUUAACAAAAUAAGGUCAGCUAGUACGUUACUGUACUUAUAAUUUUAUGCGGUGUUGUAGUAAGUAAUGACUCGACCGCAAAAGAAGAGAUAAUACACAAGUUUAUUCAGGUGAGAAAAUACCUUAACCAUAAAUCAAUAAAAUCGGUACUCAAAGUUUUUCAGGUGAGAAAACACUUUAUUCACAAAUCAAUAAAAUAAAUACACAAGUUUUUUUCAGGUAAGAUAUCACAAAAUAGUAAAAUGGAUACGUAAUUUGUUUUCAUUUAAGAAAAUUUUUAUCCACAAAUCAAUAAACUGGACACACAAGUUUUCUUUCAGGUGAGAAAACACUAUCAACAAAUCAAUAAACUGGAUACGCAAGUUUUUUUGGUGUGAAACUAUUUUAUUCACAACUCAGUAAAAUGGAUGUCACAUGAACACCAUGGACAAAACGUUUAAUAAACAAUACCAAUAACUUUUUAAUUUGUCUAGGUAAGCACAAUAUGAAAACUAUGGCGAAUAUGAUAGUACUGAUCUUGCUUAGAGUUAAAUUACAAUCUCCGAAGUCUGCGUUAGUUCCCAAAAUGCCUUUCUUAUCCAUCUACUCUACCUGUCCAAUAGUACAAUCUUCCCACGUGGAUGUCAGACCAAGCGACCCACAUAGGCCAGCUUAGGAAAUCACCGAUUAUAACAUCCACCUUUAAAGAUGAACGUGCUCAUGACUCGGGGCAUGUGAAAGUUCGUAAUCCAUGAUUCACGCAGUACAAGGCUUGACAGACAGUUUUAGGUACGACCUUGACAAGUACUAAAAAUUUGAAAACUAUCUGAAUAAAGAUAUACAUUUAGAUUUAGUUUGAAUGAUGUAUAUACAUCUAGAUUGUCAGAUAUAAUUUUUUUGUUUAUUGUUUUGAAAAUUUUGCUAGGGAUAUUUGUUUCAAUUAACAAAUGUCUCAUCCCAUUUUAUUUUAUAGCUCUAAUUCCAACAUUAUCUUCCGGAAAAUAUAAAUACUACAA
rnacentral:lncRNA from 1 species